ACUUGCUUUGAGGCAGGUGCGGUGAGUCUACUGUGGGCUGGUCCGGAUUCCUCAGGUUCCGCCCCCCAACCACUACCCAGCCAGUUCGUGGAGAGGAGAGGUACACUUUACAGGUCCUUGAUGAACCAAGAGAACACUCCACCAUAUCCAGGCCCUGGUCCAUCAGCCCCAUACCCACCUUAUCCACAAAAGCAAAUGGGCCCAGGACUAUGGGAGGGGGCCCUACCCACCUUUUCAAGGGUACCCUAUCAAGGAUACAAGGAUACGCACAGUACAGUUGGCAGGGCAGACCUCAGGAGCCUCCUAAAACCACAGUGUAUAUGGUAGAAGACCAAAGAAGAGAUGAGUUGAAACCAUCCACCUACCUCACAGCCUACUGGACUGCUUUCUGUUGCUGCUGUCUCUGGGUCAUGCUCACCUGACCAGCCCAGUCAUCCUGUUCUGCCAGCUCUGCCACACCUCUGAUAGGUGUACCUGCCCCUGUCUGUUCUGAUUGCUGUAAUAAAUGACUAGCUCUGCACAGACACCUAUACCUUCGGCACUAUGGGAUUCUAGAUUCGUGAGGGCUGCUGCGGUUUAAUUCAGUGACUUGAUCUCUUUAAUGUCCAAAAUACAUUUCUUAUUGAUCUUUUAAAAUGUGCUAAGUGACUUUUUUUUGGCCAAAGGCUUAGUUGUGGAAAAUAUAUUUAUAAUUUUGUAAUUAUACAUUCACGGUAGUGGCAAAAUG